rnacentral:rRNA from 1 species
AGAGUUUGAUCCUGGCUCAGAUUGAACGCUGGCGGAAUGCUUUACACAUGCAAGUCGAGCGGCAGCGCGGGGGCAACCCUGGCGGCGAGCGGCGAACGGGUGAGUAACACAUCGGAACGUACCCAGUUGUGGGGGAUAGCCCGGCGAAAGCCGGAUUAAUACCGCAUACGACCUGAGGGUGAAAGGGGGGGAUCGCAAGACCUCUCGCAGUUGGAGCGGCCGAUGGCGGAUUAGCUAGUUGGUGGGGUAAAGGCCUACCAAGGCGACGAUCCGUAGCUGGUCUGAGAGGACGACCAGCCACACUGGAACUGAGACACGGUCCAGACUCCUACGGGAGGCAGCAGUGGGGAAUUUUGGACAAUGGGGGCAACCCUGAUCCAGCCAUUCCGCGUGAGUGAAGAAGGCCUUCGGGUUGUAAAGCUCUUUCGGCAGGAACGAAACGGUGUGGGCCAAUACCCUGCAUCAAUGACGGUACCUGAAGAAGAAGCACCGGCUAACUACGUGCCAGCAGCCGCGGUAAUAA